CUGGCGGCGUGCUUAACACAUGCAAGUCGAACGAGAGGAGAAGGAAGCUUGCUUCUUCAAAUCUAGUGGCAAACGGGUGAGUAACACGUAAACAACCUGCCUUCAGGAUGGGGACAACAGACGGAAACGACUGCUAAUACCGAAUACGUUCCUUAGGUCGCAUGACUUUAGGAAGAAAGGGUGGCCUCUACUUGUAAGCUAUCGCUAGAGGAUGGGCCUGCGUCUGAUUAGCUAGUUGGUGGGGUAACGGCCUACCAAGGCGAUGAUCAGUAGCCGGUCUGAGAGGAUGAACGGCCACACUGGAACUGAGACACGGUCCAGACUCCUACGGGAGGCAGCAGUGGGGAAUCUUCCGCAAUGGGCGAAAGCCUGACGGAGCAACGCCGCGUGAGUGAUGACGGCCUUCGGGUUGUAAGGCUCUGUGAUCGGGGACGAACGGUCAGCAGACGAAUACUCUGCUGAAGUGACGGUACCCGAAUAGCAAGCCACGGCUAACUACGUG
rnacentral:rRNA from 1 species